CUUUUAUCCGUUGAGCGAGGGCCCUUCCACUCGGCACCGUCGGAUCACUAAGGCUGACUUUCGUCCCUGCUGGACUUGUCAGUUUCG